rnacentral:rRNA from 1 species
UACGGGGGGGGCAAGCGUUGUUCGGAAUUACUGGGCGUAAAGGGCGCGUAGGCGGUUUGCUAAGUUGGAUGUGAAAACUCUGGGCUUAACCCAGAGCCUGCAUCCAAAACUGGCAAACUUGAGUACUGGAGGGGAAAGCGGAAUUCCUGGUGUAGCGGUGAAAUGCGCAGAUAUCAGGAGGAACACCGGUGGCGAAGGCGGGUCUCUGGGCCGUAACUGACGCUGAGGAGCGAAAGCGUGGGGAGCGAACAGG